rnacentral:rRNA from 1 species
UGCGCAGGCGGUUAUUUAAGACAGAUGUGAAAUCCCCGGGCUUAACCUGGGAACUGCGUUUGUGACUGGAUAGCUGGAGUGCGGCAGAGGGGGGUGGAAUUCCACGUGUAGCAGUGAAAUGCGUAGAGAUGUGGAGGAACACCGAUGGCGAAGGCAGCCCCCUGGGUCAGCACUGACGCUCAUGCACGAAAGCGUGGGGAGCAAACAGGAUUAGAUACCCUGGUAGUCCACGCCCUAAACGAUGCGAACUAGGUGUUGGGGGGGGAGACUUCCUUAGUACCGCAGCUAACGCGUGAAGUUCGCCGCCUGGGGAGUACGGUCGCAAGAUUAAA